rnacentral:rRNA from 1 species
UACGUAGGUGGCAAGCGAUACUCGGAAUCACUAGGCGUAAAGCGCAGGUAGGCGGUUCGGUAAGUCUUUUGUGAAAGCUUCCGGCUCAACUGGGAGAGGCCAAGGGAAACUACCGGACUAGAGUGUGGUAGGGGAUACUGGAAUUCCUGGUGUAGCGGUGAAAUGCGUAGAUAUCAGGAGGAAUACCUAUGGCGAAAGCAGGUAUCUGGGCCAUCACUGACGCUGAGCUGCGAAAGCUAGGGGAGCAAACAGG